CAAGAUGAAAAGCAACUGCAAUUGCAAAAAGCUAUUUACACACAUUUGGUCAUCAAUGCAGUUGAAUCUCAUAACAAUCCGUUCCAAGUGUAACGAGUUAGCUUAACAUUUCUAAGGAAGAAAUCACACUUAGCAUUUUGUAAAUUUCAUAUCAGUCAAGAUUUCAUGGGUGUUGCCCGUAUAAAGAAACAACCGAAAAUAACGCAAAGGCCGAACAUAUCGCUGUUAAAAGUACCGCGAAGCUAACGUGCUCUUGUGUAUCGAUGAGGAAUUUCAUGAAGUCGGAGAUCAAUCAAUUUCGAUUCCUCUCACUCCAAUGACGGACGGACAAUAUAUUAUGACAUCUUCAACUGAAGGUGGACGUACAGCUCCUACGUCAUCGACUAAGUCGGGGCCGAAACGUCAGAAUAGCCUUCAUGCAAGUCUACCAACAAACCAGCAAUGAAACAAUCACAAGGAUGGCGGCAGAGAAGCGGGCAUUGUUAGCUUGACCUGUUUAGACAGUAUACUUCCCAGUAAACCUAUUUCAACUAAGCUAAUGUUGCGUUAUUAGUAGGUGUUUUCCACGUGAAGUAAACAAGAUGCGGUUUCUCUGCGCUUAUUUGUUUUGGGAAAGGAUUCAUGCACAACCCAUCUCGCAACUUGUACAAAUGUUAGAGAAGGUCGUGAGUGAAAUCUGCAGCAACAAGAAUAGCGUUGGAACGCAUCCGGGCCCCUCGUCAAACGAAGGAUGUCUGGUGCUAUAAUCCGUGUCUGGCUGGUCAAGGACAAAACCUUUUGAUUGCAUGUCGGUUUACAGAUAUUCUUCUAUAAAAUUCGGAAUCUAAUGGAUGCUGGAAAUUCAUGGGAUUUAACGCUUGGUGUGGCAGACAAUCUUUUCAUUUAGGGACAUCAACUCGACGAACAGAAAUAGGAACGACGGAUAGAUCGGGAAAGGUGUGAUCUAUCCAAUGACAUUAAAUUAAACGUAGACUUCCGUGACCCUUUCGAUGACGCUUCUAAAUCAAUUGGACAUCCGCAACAUCAAAUAAUUGAAUAGAUUUAGGAACAUCGGUAACUGAAAUAUUUAACAAUUUUCAGACUAUGCAAGUCUGAAGGGGGUGAAGGGAUUUCCCCGAAUUAUGUUUGGCCAAUGGCGAGCAACUAUUGCCACGAAAAAUGGCAGUAGGAUGCGGAGCAGGGGAAUUUGCCUUGAAUAUCGCAUUUUGAAUCGGAGCACAGGUGGCUCUGAAAUGCGUAGCCAAUCGUUGAAAAUGAGUUCCCAAUUAGAUGUUGGUCUUUCAACGGACAAUUGCGUCGUUUGUUGGCGAAUUAGAAGAAACAGAUGUGGUGGCGAGCUGCUGAUGAUCUUGCGUUUCCUUUCGUUUGACUUCUGGGCAUGUUGCGAGUGUUUUUGUGUGCGGCUCAAGCCCCAAGGGUAGGGCACGAACGAGGGAGAAAAAUGUGAUGAGAAACAGAUUGUAGUUCCAUCCGUCUGGCAGCUGAGUAGAGACGGCGCAGGCCAGCACUAGCACGAUGGCCACCAGUACCUGUUUAAAUGACGUAAUAGAACCUUCCUUUUAUUCCAUUAUUUGCGAAUUGUUGCGUCGGUAAUGUAGUACUUGACAUGGGAAAAAAAAGUGACGAAUAGUGGGCCAACUUACCAAAACCUUCAUUCUUCUUUGUGUUGUGUGUGUGUCAAUGUGCUGUUGGCCCAGUGUUAUCGAAUUGAAUUCUUCUUGUUAACUAACGAAAGUCCAGGAAAAGCAGUCGGUCUUUAUAUACAUGUGCCUUGCUUUGUUGUGUUGCUCAUCCUUGGGAACGUGCAAUGUUUACCGUUACAUGACCAGAGCUCUCCUUUGUGUGUGUGUGUGUCUGUCCUAUUGCAGCGAAAGUGGAGUUGCCAUCGGCCAUUUGCGAAUGCAGAAUUUGCUUCUCUUUUUUGCGCAUCUCGAGCUCUGGUGGUACCGCAGCUGUGGAUACCACAUUGACGUUAUUUGGCGUUCCGGUUCGACCUGGAGAACGGGACUUCAGCCCUUUCGCUAAUUGCAUCGAGCGUAAUCCGUCUAGCCGUUUUUUAUGGAUUUCGCAUUGAGGAUAACAGCCACGACCUCUUUUCCUCUUCUUGACGGGCACACGAAAAAUGAAUUUUUUCCCCUUCGCCUUCCGCGGCGUCCACUAGACGACCCCGAAAACCUUCCAUUCAUGUUUUUCAAUGUCAAGCCGAACCUUGCACCGGCAAUUGCCCAUCAAGCCCUGCGUGUUUCGUGAAUUCAAGCCAGG